UUUCCGUAGGUGAACCUGCGGAAGGAUCAUUCAUAAUAAGUGUUUUAUGGCACUUUUUUAAAUCCAUAUCCACCUUGUGUGCAAUGUCAGGGUUGAUUUUUCUCUCGAGAGGAUCAACCCCAAACAUCAACUAUAUCUCAACUCUUUGUCUGAAAAAUAUUGUGAAUAAAACAAUUCAAAAUACAACUUUCAACAACGGAUCUCUUGGCUCUC
rnacentral:misc_RNA from 1 species